rnacentral:rRNA from 1 species
AACGAACGCUGGCGGCGUGCCUAACACAUGCAAGUCGUACGAGAAACACGUCCUUCGGGAUGUGGAGUAAAGUGGCGCACGGGUGAGUAACACGUGGGUAACCUGCCUUGGGGAUCGGGAUAACUGGCCGAAAGGCCCGCUAAUACCGGAUGAGACCACAUGAGCUACGGCUCAAGGGGUCAAAGUCGGCCUCUCAACGAAGCCGGCACCACCAGAUGGGCCCGCGGACCAUUAGCUAGUUGGUAGGGUAACGGCCUACCAAGGCUGAGAUGGUUAGCUGGUCUGAGUGGAUGAUCAGCCACACUGGAACUGAGAUACGGUCCAGACUCCUACGGGAGGCAGCAGUGAGGAAUAUUGCGCAAUGGAGGAAACUCUGACGCAGCAACGCCGCGUGGGUGAAGAAGGCUUUCGGGUUGUAAAGCCCUGUCAGGCGGGAAGAAACUUCCGCAGGUGAAUAGUCUGUGGAACUGACGGUACCGCCAAAGGAAGCACCGGCUAACUCCGUGCCAGCAGCCGCCGUAACAC